CGUAGGGUGCAAGCGUUAAUCGGAAUUACUGGGCGUAAAGCGUGCGCAGGCGGUUGUGCAAGACAGAUGUGAAAUCCCCGGGCUCAACCUGGGAAUUGCAUUUGUGGCUGCACGGCUAGAGUGUGUCAGAGGGGGGUAGAAUUCCACGUGUAGCAGUGAAAUGCGUAGAGAUGUGGAGGAAUACCGAUGGCGAAGGCAGCCCCCUGGGAUAACACUGACGCUCAUGCACGAAAGCGUGGGGAGCAAACAGGAUUAGAUACCCUGGUAGUCCACGCCCUAAACGAUGUCUACUAGUUGUCGGGUCUUAAUUGACUUGGUAACGCAGCUAACGCGUGAAGUAGACCGCCUGGGGAGUACGGUCGCAAGAUUA
rnacentral:rRNA from 1 species